rnacentral:rRNA from 1 species
GAUGAACGCUAGCGGCAGGCUUAACACAUGCAAGUCGAGGGGUAGAGGAAGCUUGCUUCCUUGAGACCGGCGCACGGGUGCGUAACGCGUAUGCAACCUACCUUUUACAGAGGGAUAGCCCAGAGAAAUUUGGAUUAAUACCUCAUGGUAUAUAUCAUUCGCAUGUUUGAUAUAUUAAAGUUCCAACGGUAAAAGAUGGGCAUGCGUCCUAUUAGCUAGAUGGUAAGGUAACGGCUUACCAUGGCAACGAUAGGUAGGGGUCCUGAGAGGGAGAUCCCCCACACUGGUACUGAGACACGGACCAGACUCCUACGGGAGGCAGCAGUGAGGAAUAUUGGACAAUGGGCGCAAGCCUGAUCCAGCCAUGCCGCGUGCAGGAGAAGCAUCUAUGGUGUGUAAACUGCUUUUGACGGG